rnacentral:rRNA from 1 species
UACGGGGGGAGCAAGCGUUGUUCGGAAUUACUGGGCGUAAAGGGCUCGUAGGCGGCCAACUAAGUCAGACGUGAAAUCCCCAGGCUCAACCUGGGAACUGCGUCUGAUACUGGAUGGCUUGAAUCCGGGAGAGGGAUGCAGAAUUCCAGGUGUAGCGGUGAAAUGCGUAGAUAUCAGGAGGAACACCGGUGGCGAAGGCGGGUCUCUGGGCCGUAACUGACGCUGAGGAGCGAAAGCAUGGGGAGCGAACAGG